AGAUGUAAGGAUACAUCUGCACUGAACGUGACCAACUCUGGAGCUAUUUCUACUGUCAAGAUUUGCUCCGAUGGGAUAUGGAUAUAAAUCUCCCUCCGAUCUAAGACCGCCACGGUGACUUGCAAGCAACUCACUGCACUUAGGCACUGGACUAUCUGAAUUUCUAAUUCAGUGAUGGAAGGCUGCUGGGUGUAGUCAAGUACU
rnacentral:lncRNA from 1 species